UCCAACGGCAGGUGUCCGCAGCGACAGAUGGCCGCUCGCCGCCCGUUCGGAGGCCCGCCGGAUAGCGCAGGCAGCCCGCAGCACAAGGACCCGGCACCGUCGUUUCACUGCAGCUCUGGUUUUCUCCUUCACCCUGAAAACGGACUUAUACAACUUUUUACUUGGGGAAACAUGCAGCAGCAUUUCUAGAGGAGCUAAAAAUAACUAUGCUGUGCUGUCUAUACAUGAGCUAAUAACCAUGCUGUGUAUUUUUCGGAGAAUUUGGCAGAGUUGAGCACACAUCAGGCCCGGACUGGCUCCUUUUGGGGUGGUCGUUUAGGUACUGGAAAGUCGCCCCCUGAUGUGGGGGUUCUGGGGGCCCUUCCCCCGAAAAUGUAAGAAAAUUAUUGUUUCAAAAAC